rnacentral:sRNA from 1 species
ACAGCGAAUGAAAAUUGACAGAGAAUUUGCUUUGUGGCUGAAGGACUGUCAUGAAAAGUAUGAUAAACAAAUAAAAUUUACACUUUUUAAGGGAGUAAUUACACGUCCUGAUCUUCCUUCUAAAAAGCAAGGUCCCUGGGCAACAUAUGCAGCAAUAGAAUGGGAUGGAAAGAUAUACAAAGCAGGACAGCUGGUCAAGACAAUCAAGACACUUCCCCUCUUUUAUGGAAGCAUAGUAAGAUUUUUUCUUUAUGGCGAUCAUGAUGGAGAAGUAUAUGCUACAGGAGGAGAGGUUCAAAUUGCAAUGGAACCUCAGGCACUAUAUGAUGAAGUAAAAACUGUGCCAAUUGCAAAGCUGGAUAGGACAGUUGCUGAGAAAGCUGUUAAAAAAUAUGUAGAAGAUGAAAUGGCAAGGUAAGUCACACUUCAAGAUGCAUGACAAAAAUAGAAAAAUUGGAAAGAAUUGUGCUGUAAGUAUUCUGAGUAUGUCAUUUACUCUGCUGUU